rnacentral:rRNA from 1 species
GACGAACCGUCCUAACGUUGUUCGGAAUCACUGGGCUUAAAGGGCGCGUAGGCGGGCACGUAAGUCCGGGGUGAAAUCUUUCGGCUUAACCGGAAAACAGCCUCGGAAACUGCGUGCCUCGAGGGAGGUAGGGGCGGCCGGAACUUCCGGUGGAGCGGUGAAAUGCGUAGAUAUCGGGAGGAACACCAGUGGCGAAGGCGACUUCCUGGCCUGUUCUUGACGCUGAGGCGCGAAAGCUAGGGGAGCAAACGGG